UACAGAGGAGCCAAGCGUUGUCCGGAUUGACUGGGCGUAAAGCGCACGCAGGCGGUUGCGCGCGUGGGGUGUGAAAUCUGGCCGCUUAACGGCCAGGCGCCAUCCCAUACGGCGCGACUGGAGUGAUGCAGAGGUCGAUGGAAUUGCCGGUGUAGUGGUGAAAUGCGUAGAGAUCGGCAGGAACACCCAGGGGGAAACCAGUCGACUGGGCAUCUACUGACGCUGAGGUGUGAGAGCGUGGGGAGCGAACCGG
rnacentral:rRNA from 1 species